GACGAACGCUGGCGGCGUGCCUAAUACAUGCAAGUCGAACGCUUCUUUCCUCCCGAGUGCUUGCACUCAAUUGGAAAGAGGAGUGGCGGACGGGUGAGUAACACGUGGGUAACCUACCCAUCAGAGGGGGAUAACACUUGGAAACAGGUGCUAAUACCGCAUAACAGUUUAUGCCGCAUGGCAUAAGAGUGAAAGGCGCUUUCGGGUGUCGCUGAUGGAUGGACCCGCGGGGCAUUAGCUAGUUGGUGAGGUAACGGCUCACCAAGGCCACGAUGCAUAGCCGACCUGAGAGGGUGAUCGGCCACACUGGAACUGAGACACGGCCCAGACUCCUACGGGAGGCAGCAGUAGGGAAUCUUCGGCAAUGGACGAAAGUCUGACCGAGCAACGCCGCGUGAGUGAAGAAGGUUUUCGGAUCGUAAAACUCUGUUGUUAGAGAAGAACAAGGACGUUAGUAACUGAACGUCCCCUGACGGUAUCUAACCAGAAAGCCACGGCUAACUACGUG
rnacentral:rRNA from 1 species